rnacentral:rRNA from 1 species
AUGGAGUCCACGAAGCUCUCCGCGCUGCUGGUGCUCGCCAUGCUGGCGCUCUCCUCGCCCACCGUCGUCCUCGCGUGCUCCCCCGCCUCCGGGUGCAGCAGCACACCGUCCACCGGCACGCCCUCGGCCGGCGGCAUCACCAUCCCCGACGUCGGCGGUGUCGUUGGCACUGUCACUCCGGUCAUCGGCGGCGCUGUCCCCACCGUCGGCGGUGUCGUCGGCAAAGUCACCCCGGUCGUCGGCGGCGCCGUCCCUACAGUCGGCGGUGUUGUCGGCAAAGUCACCCCGGUCGUCGGCAAGGUCACGCCGGUCGUAGGCGGCGCCGUCCCUGCCGUCGGUGGCAUUGUCUCUCCUGUCGUCGGCACCGUAGGAGGCGUGGUUGGCGGCGUCCCCGUCGUCGGGGGAGUUGUCACUCCCGUCAUCAGUCCCGUCAUCGGCGUCGUGGCUCCCAUCAUCGGCGGCUCCCCGUCCCCCAAGAGCCGCCACGGCGGACGCAAGGCGUGCCCUCCCUCACCCCCGACCCCCACCCCGUCUCCCCCGACCCCGGCGCCGACUCCGCCGACGCCCACGCCGAGCCCCACGCCCUCCUCCGACACGUGCCCGAUCGACACGCUGAAGCUGGGCGUGUGCCUGGACCUGCUCGGCAACGAGCUGCACAUCGGCGACGCCAGCGUCAAGUGCUGCCCGCUCGUGCAGGGCAUCGCCGGGCUCACCGCCGUGGCGUGCCUCUGCACCGCCAUCAAGGCCAAGGUGCUCAACCUCGCGCUCUACGUGCCGCUCGCCCUCCAGCUGCUCGUCAACGACUGCGGCUGCGCCGUGCCCCCGGGCUACACCUGCGCCUGA